CGCAACGUUGAAAAAUAUUUUAGUAUGAUUUUUUUUAAAUUGAACAAAUUUUAAUUGUGCUGAGAGUGAGAUUGUUCAGGAAAGAGUUGUUUUUAACUCUACGAUGGUUUUCUUGCUAGUUCGUAAAGUUAUUUUCCCAAGUAGUAACAUUGGUGUUCAACAAGGAAUAACAUUCUGAAAUAUUUAAAAAAUAAAAGGUGCCAAAACAGAAUAUGGACAAAACAGUGUUUACGAGAAAGAAAUAGGAAGAGGAAGAGUAACUUAAGAUGACCCAUCAUCAUUUCGGCGGAGGACAUCAUCAUCACGGAGGACCCCACCACCACGGGGGACAUCAUCACCAGGGAGGACACCAUCAUUUCGGUCCACCACCACCACAAUUUGGGCCACGUCAUCACCAUUACCACCGACAUCAUCACCCUCCUCCUCCCCCACCAUUCAUGCCAGGACAACGUCCUCGUCGACCAACAGAAGUUGACUGUUGUUUUUGUGUAAUAAUAUAAUUAUAAGAUUUGGCGAUCCUCGAUGUUAUCCUAGUACCCGUUUGCAAGAAAUAUUAAGAAUCUGUUUAUUUAGGCCAUAGUGGCGGUGGAAAUAAAUUUUGCGAUCUACUGAAGAAGUCUUUAUCUGCCAAAAAAAAAUGUUAAAUAAAAUAAAAACAUAUAUGUGUAAA